rnacentral:hammerhead_ribozyme from 1 species
AUUCAACUGACGAGUCCUAAAUAGGACGAAACGUCUGUCCUGGAU